GUGAACGCUGGCGGUAGGCCUAACACAUGCAAGUCGAACGGCAGCACAGUAAGAGCUUGCUCUUACGGGUGGCGAGUGGCGGACGGGUGAGGAAUACAUCGGAAUCUACUUUUUCGUGGGGGAUAACGUAGGGAAACUUACGCUAAUACCGCAUACGACCUACGGAUGAAAGCAGGGGAUCUUCGGACCUUGCGCGAUUGAAUGAGCCGAUGUCGGAUUAGCUAGUUGGCGGGGUAAAGGCCCACCAAGGCGACGAUCCGUAGCUGGUCUGAGAGGAUGAUCAGCCACACUGGAACUGAGACACGGUCCAGACUCCUACGGGAGGCAGCAGUGGGGAAUAUUGGACAAUGGGCGCAAGCCUGAUCCAGCCAUACCGCGUGGGUGAAGAAGGCCUUCGGGUUGUAAAGCCCUUUUGUUGGGAAAGAAAAGCAGCAGGUUAAUACCCCGCUGUCCUGACGGUACCCAAAGAAUAAGCACCGGCUAACUUCGUG
rnacentral:rRNA from 1 species